AAGUCGGAAUCGCUAGUAAUCGUAGAUCAGAAUGCUACGGUGAAUACGUUCCCGGGCCUUGUACACACCGCCCGUCACACCAUGGGAGUGGGUUGCAAAGAAGUAGGUAGCUUAACCUUCGGGAGGGCGCUUACCACUUUGUGAUUCAUGACUGGGGUGAAGUCGUAACAAGGUAACCGUAGGGGAACCUGCGGUUGGAUCACCUCCUUACCUUAAAGAA
rnacentral:rRNA from 1 species